rnacentral:rRNA from 1 species
GACGAACGCUGGCGGCGUGCCUAAUACAUGCAAGUAGAACGCACAGUUUAUACCGUAGCUUGCUACACCAUAAACGGUGAGUUGCGAACGGGUGAGUAACGCGUAGGUAACCUGCCUGGGAGCGGUGGAUAACUAUUGGAAACGAUAGCUAAUACCGCAUAAUAUUGAUUAUUGCAAGGUAAUUGAUUGAAAUAUUCUAUUUCAUCACUACCAGAUGGACCUGCGUUGUAUUAGCUAGUAGGUGAGGUAACGGCGCACCAAGGCAACGAUGCAUAUCCGACCUGAUGGGGGGAGCGGCCAAACUGGAACUGAGACACGGUCCAGACUCCGACGGGAGGCAGCAGUAGGGAAUCUGCCGCAAUGGGCGAAAGCCGGACGGAGCAACGCCGGGUGAGGGAGGAAGGGCUUCAGAUCGUAAAACUCUGUUAUUAGGGAAGAACAUAUGUGUAAGUAACUGUGCACAUCUGGACGGUACCUAAUCAGAAAGCCACGGCUAACUACGUG